ACACGAUCGCGGAGCUCGCGGUGCCGGCUUGCCUGACGGGCAAGUCGCUCGCGGAGGUCAAUCCGCGCGGCCGGUUCGGCUGCAGCGUCGUGGC
rnacentral:tRNA from 1 species